GUGCAGACCUAGGAUGACAAGCCACCUGCCAGUGCUGGAGACCACUGCUGUGCAUGCUGCCGCCUUCUUGUUCAUGUACCUCCCCCUCCCUUAUCCUUCAUGUUUACUUCUUUCACCGAAAUGAAAAUUGGUUGACAACAGAGCAGACGCUUCCUAAACCUCUCAAGAAAUCCUGAAGCAAGCCAUGCCUCUUGAAUGAAACAUAGACAGCUGAUUCCUGGCCUGGUGCUGCCUUCUGUCUGCGAUGGAGUUCCUGUGCUGUUUAGACGAUUGCUUGCCUCUCAGAUGUCACAGUUGGUGAUAUGUAUGUUUACUGAGCAAUUGCUGUAGCCCCACAUUGCCCUUGACUGGAGAUACUGAAUAUACCAGCAAGCAGCACGAGACGUAUACAUUAUUGAAUCCUCAUCUUUGGCGCAUGGAGGGCUGGCUCUUCAACCCUACUGGUUUAGCCCAUGUAACAAAUGACUGAGGUGGAACCCACAGUGAAAAUACAAUGAUCACUCAGUCUAUUUAGUGCAAUGACUGAAGCAGGCUGAGGGAAACUGCUCAGGUCGUUCUGGUGUGGCCCUGCUGCCUUCUGAGGGAGUGGUGAAUUGGCAAUUACUCUGAUAAAUGUGGCUGCUGGAGACCCAUCUCUGUACAUUCAACAAACAUUAAUCAAGAGUCUACAAUGGGCCAGUCCCUACCAAAACCUGAGCCCUUGAGACAGAAAGCUAACAUAACUGUCUUCUGAGAGGCUCCAUCCAGCAGUCAGUGAAAACAGAUACAGAGACCGACACUCAAACAUUAGAUGGAGCUCAAGGAGUCUUAAGGAAGAGUUUGAGGAAGGAUUGAGGGACUUGAAGAGGACACAGACCUCAAAGGAAAACCAACAGAGUCAGCUAACCUGGACACUUGGGGACUCCCAGAGACUGAAUCACAAAACAAAAGUGAGCAUGGGCUGGGCUAGGCUCCUGCACAUAUGAAGCAGAUGAGCAGCUUAGUCUUCAUGCAGGUCCACCAACAACUAAAGUGGGGGCUGUCCCUGAGCCUGUUGUGUGCCUGUGGACUCCAUACCACUAAAUGGGUAGCCUUGUCUGGCUCAGUGAGAGAGGAUGUGACUAGUCCAGCAGCUAUUUGAUGUGCAGGGGGUGGGGGUAGGGGUCGUGAGGGGUUAGAUGUUUGACACCCAGAGGGGGUUUCACAUUCUCUUUUGAAAAGGGGAAGGUGGAAUAGGAGGAGGGCUUUCCUGAGGAGUACUGGGAGGAGAGGAAGGGCUGAUAUUGUGUUGUAAAGUGAAUAAAUAAGUAAAUUAAAAACAAAUAAAACUAACAAAAUUGAGAUCUGUGAUCUAUUUGGAUCUAAGUUUUGUACAGAGUGAUAGAGAUUGGUAUUAUUUUAUUCUUCUGUAUGUGGACAUACAGGUUUUCCAGUGCCAUUUGUUAAAGAUGCUAUCUCUUCUCUCGAGAGGUUUUUCCUCAUUGUCAAAUAUCAGAUGGCUAUAGUUAUGAGAACUCACAUGUGGGUCUUCUAUUAUUCCAUUGUUCUACAUGUAUGGUUUACGCUAGUACCAUAUUGUUUUAUUACUAUGGCAUCUCUAGAACUCUGGGCUAGCAAUUCCGCUAAAAUUAUUCUUUUGGUUCAGGAAUGGCUUGCCUCUCUGGGAUCCUUUCUCAUUUCAUAUGAAUUUUAUUCUGUCAAGAAUGUGGAUAUUUUAAUUAGUGUUUCAUUGAAUCUGUACAUUUCUUUUAGCUUGUAAAAGAAGCUUGUACUUGUAGCUUGGCUAUUUUCACAACUAAUUCUACUGACCCAUGAACACAGAAUGGCUUUGUAUUUUCUAGUUUAUUUCUCAAUCCCUUUCUUCAAAGAUUUGUAAUUUGCAUUGUAGAGGUUUUUCACCUCCUCAGUUAGUUUUAUUCCAAGAUAUUUUAUUGUCAUUGAUGCUAUUGAAAAUAAAAGUGCAUCUUCAAUGUGUUUGUUAUUGAUAUAUAGAAAGGCUGCUGAUUCUUACAAGAUAGAAAGAUAGAUAGAUAGAUAGAUAGAUAGAUAGAUAGAUAGAUAGAUAGAUUUUUUUUUCAAGACAGGGUUUCUCUAUGUAGCCAUGGCUGUCCUGGAACUCACUCUGUAGACCAGGCUGGCCUUGAACUCAGAAAUCUGCCUGCCUUGCCUCCCAAGUGCUGGGAUAAAAGGUAUGUGCCACUACUGCCUGGCAUUAUGUAAGUAUUAUUACAAGUACUCUGCAAUUUUGCUGAAAUUGUUGUUUCUAGAAGUUUUAUUCUUUUUUAAAAAUUAGGUAUCUUCCUCAUUUGCAUUUCCAAUGCUAUCCCAAAAGUCCCCUAUACCCUACCCCCCACCCCCCUACCCACCCACUUCCACUUUUUGGCCCUGGCAUUCCCCUGUACUGGAGCAUAUAAAGUUUGCAAGUCCAAUNAGAAGGGGCAAAGUGUCCACACUUUGGUCUUCGUUCUUCUUGAGUUUCAUGUGUUUUGCAAAUUGUAGCUUAUAUUUAUUCUUAAGGACUAUAUAUAAGAAUUUAGGUGGGGGUGUGGUAAGAAAGUAGCUUAGUGAGAGAUCUCUACUCUUUUGAGGUUCAAGUUCAAAAACCAAAAAGGAAAAACAAAUCCCUUUGAUUUUCAUCUUUAAAUUUUGGUAUCAAUCAAUCUAGUAUAAAUUUGUCUAUCACAAAAAUGGCUUGAAGCAUUCAUUGUCAAUCAAUUGGCUCUGGAAUUGUGUUUUUGUCUUGAGUUAUAUUUCCCACUUACUAUGGAUAUUAAACAUCUCUGUAUACUAUUAUUAGCUAGUUGUAUUUUGCAUCUGAUCCCCACUCAGUCUUCUGAAGUCCACUUUUUAUUUGAGUGCUAAUCUGUUCAUUAUGCAUCUAAAUGAACUUUCUGAAUAUUAUUGAUUCUAGGCAUUUGCCCACCAGUCAUUUUACAGAUGCAUUCUUCCAGUUAGCAAUUUGUUGUUCUGUGUCCUUUAAUGUGAGUUGAUGACUAAAAAUAUCUUUCUUGUCAAAAUUUCUAUAAGUAGUAUACAGAAAAGAUCAAAAAUAAAAAUAUUAAAUAUCUCACAUGAAAUAUUUAUGUGUAGUUUACUUAGAAAAUGUGAGAACAUAUANNNNNNNNNNNNNNNNNNNNNNNNNNNNNNNNNNNNCAUGUAAAUUUUGUUAAUUUAUUAAAAUGCAUAGCUACAGAAAGAUUUUGAAUAUAACACAGUCAUUGCUAUUCAUUAGAAUUUACUAUCCCUGAAUC
ensembl:lincRNA